GACGAACGCUGGCGGCGUGCCUAAUACAUGCAAGUAGAACGCACAGUUUAUACCGUAGCUUGCUACACCAUAAACUGUGAGUUGCGAACGGGUGAGUAACGCGUAGGUAACCUGCCUGGUAGCGGGGGAUAACUAUUGGAAACGAUAGCUAAUACCGCAUAAUAUUGAUUAUUGCAUGAUAAUUGAUUGAAAGAUGCUAUUGCAUCACUACCAGAUGGACCUGCGUUGUAUUAGCUAGUAGGUGAGGUAACGGCUCACCUAGGCGACGAUACAUAGCCGACCUGAGAGGGUGAUCGGCCACCCUGGGACUGAGACACGGCCCAGACUCCUACGGGAGGCAGCAGUAGGGAAUCUUCGGCAAUGGACGAAAGUCUGACCGAGCAACGCCGCGUGAGUGAAGAAGGUUGUCGGAUCGUAAAGCUCUGUUGUAAGAGAAGAACGGGUGUGAGAGUGGAAAGUUCACACUGUGACGGUAUCUGACCAGAAAGGGACGGCUAACUACGUG
rnacentral:rRNA from 1 species